CUCAGGCUGUUGGUAAGAGGACUGUUCCUUCACUGCCUGCAGGAAUAUGCAAAAGUGACCUCCUCCGCAACCUGGGUGAAGCUGAGCUGAAUUCAAUUGAGAUUUCUCUUUGUAAUUCUCUAGUGUGUAUGUGGUAAGAAGUGAGACACCUUGUGCAGGUUUCAAGGAUUGGAGGUUCUAAAGGGGCAGGCCGAUUACAGAAAUGAAGCAAAUCUUGUGCUCUCAUGCCCCGUUCUUUAGUACAAGUAAUGUCUACAAAUACUACUGGAAAGUGGAUGUUGGUAUCAUUGGAAUGAUAUUAACAGCAGCUUCCUAGACAGAGGCUUAUCAGAAAAGGGGUGUUAAACCAGAUAAGCAGCGGCUUGCUGAAAGUGACCCCAACCCCCCCGCACCGCC